UCGAGGGGCAGCACAGGUAGCAAUACCGGGUGGCGACCGGCGCACGGGUGAGUAACGCGUAUGCAACUUGCCUAUCAGAGGGGGAUAACCCGGCGAAAGUCGGACUAAUACCGCAUGAAGCAGGGAUCCCGCAUGGGGAUAUUUGCUAAAGAUUCAUCGCUGAUAGAUAGGCAUGCGUUCCAUUAGGCAGUUGGCGGGGUAACGGCCCACCAAACCGACGAUGGAUAGGGGUUCUGAGAGGAAGGUCCCCCACAUUGGUACUGAGACACGGACCAAACUCCUACGGGAGGCAGCAGUGAGGAAUAUUGGUCAAUGGGCGUAAGCCUGAACCAGCCAAGUCGCGUGAGGGAUGAAGGUUCUAUGGGUCGUAAACCUCUUUUAUAAGGGAAUAAAGUGCGGGACGUGUCCCGUUUUGUAUGUACCUUAUGAAUAAGGAUCGGCUAACUCCGUGCCAGCAGCCGCGGUAAUACGGAGGAUCCGAGCGUUAUCCGGAUUUAUUGGGUUUAAAGGGUGCGUAGGCGGCCUUUUAAGUCAGCGGUGAAAGUCUGUGGCUCAACCAUAGAAUUGCCGUUGAAACUGGGGGGCUUGAGUAUGUUUGAGGCAGGCGGAAUGCGUGGUGUAGCGGUGAAAUGCAUAGAUAUCACGCAGAACCCCGAUUGCGAAGGCAGCCUGCCAAGCCAUUACUGAC
rnacentral:rRNA from 1 species